UUUUAAUAUAAUAUUACGUCGUGAAGUUGCUUCUGGUCCCCCCUCACUUCGAUUUCGGCCGUAAAUCUUGUUUUUCCUAGCUCUAUAUUACGUUUAAUCAUCGAAGGUGCCAUGAGACCAAGACGUGCAUUUCCUGAAGAACAAGAACAUAUUGAUGUUCGUAGUGUACAUCCACUAUAUUGAUUCCCACAAAAUAUUUGGCAAUCCAUGCUCAACAACUAUUCAAAUAAACUGGGAUAGUUAUAUAAUUAGGAGUUCAUGUUAGCACUCAUGAUUGAUUGGUCUUGGCUGAGUGGGGUUGGUAUGGUGACAGAAUUGGAGCGAUAUUGGAAAAAUCUAUAUGUAGGAGAUGGGUUCACUUUCCAAUGCAAUGGGUAGCGUACUCUAUUUUCCAUUCAAGAACUGGUUUAUAGAUAGUUGUCCGUGGAGUUUUUUGCCACAAUUAGUUUUGAAAACAUUCAACUGAACCCUUACAAUUAUAUUAGGAGGUGUCUAUCGAGAAUGUAGCAUGCAUGAGUUUUAUUGGCGAAUGGGAUUGUAAACACAAUCACUACAUUUCAUCUUAUUUUUACAGGGUUGUGUUUGAGACUUCACUACGAUGUGCAGUUUUGGAGAUUAAUUUCCAAUCACGAGUAUAGUUCGUGGAAUUCUUGCGAAGGAUAGGUUCGGUCACCCAUCUAUCGGUUCUUGCAUCGGUUGAUCGCUUUCACCAUAAAUCAAAAACAUCACGAUGACAAGGUGCCUUCCCAUAAUCUUUUCUAUCUUUGGAGCAUCAUCACGUCAGGAGUCUUUUGUGAUCUUCCUUAUAUGCUAGCGAGAUUUUUGGGGACGAAGGUGGUAAAUUCUCGUCCUAAUAGUCAUAUUACGGUGGACAUUUGGUUACACGACUCGCUCGUUCAUAUGAGAUUUUGAGUUCUAACUUUGUUCGGAAUUUGACACGUUUCUAGGAUUUGUUUCGAUCGUGUAAAUUUGUUUGUUCUUGAUGUAAACUAGUGUCUCAACCAAAAAAUCGCAGCCAAUCAAGAAUUUUUUUUGUCAGAAUCGUUCAUCGUCGUCCAAGAUUCAGAUCGUGUAGGGUUAUUUCCUAAAAUUUCAACUCAUUGGAAUCAUUAAAUCGAUUAAGCUUCUUUAAUCUCGUAAUGAUUUGUGAAACAGAUUUUUGUCUUUCGUUCCCCCACACUACCACCAUUCGAAGAUCAUUGGGAAGUAUAAUUGGCUCUCGAUUGGUCAAUUUUACUCUUUCUUUACUUCCUCAUCGUAGAGUUUGUAGCAAUCAGAGAGGUGUUCGACCCUUCGUCUCUUUUUCUGGUUUGUGGCUAAUGUACACAUAACCUGACAUCUCACUUUUUGAAGUUCAGUUUUCCAUUGACUGAAGAGUCAAUUUCUAGUUUCUCGAUUGUUCAUUGUCAAGACUCGAAUUACAUGGAAUUCUAGAUAAAUGUUGUUGCUUGUUAAAGUUUAGUGAUCAUUUUAUUUAGUGAGGCUUACCAAUUUCUAGAUUUCACAAAUUUCUUGAUUUUGUUUUAAGUUCGAUUUGGGAUUUCAUUGAUUUCUCGAUUUUGACUUAAGCUCUAGUUUCUUUUCUAAUUUGUUAAUUAAGUUCUAGCUGUUUUUU